CGUUAUCCCACGUUAAUAUUGUUUGAACAGGUAUAUAAACUGACUUUUCCGUUCAACUUCACAAACCACACGUCCAAGAUGUACUUCAAACUGUUGGCACUCUUCGCACUCUUCGCUUUGGCGUUUGCCGCUCCAGCACCAAACCCCGAUACCAUAUUUAUUGAACAGCCGGCACUGAGAUCGGUCGUCGUCGAACAACCACUAACUCUGAUGGACACUUUUUGGUCACCGACUGUUUUCUUAAUUUAACCUGCAGCUGUAUCCGUACCAAAUUUGUAACCGCAGUCUAAUGUAAUACAUUUUUAUUAUUUGCA